rnacentral:rRNA from 1 species
GACCAGACUCCUACGGGAGGCAGCAGUGGGGGAUAUUGCACAAUGGGGGGAACCCUGAUGCAGCGACGCCGCGUGAGCGAAGAAGUAUUUCGGUAUGUAAAGCUCUAUCAGCAGGGAAGAAAAUGACGGUACCUGACUAAGAAGCCCCGGCUAACUACGUGCCAGCAGCCGCGGUAAUACGUAGGGGGCAAGCGUUAUCCGGAUUUACUGGGUGUAAAGGGAGCGCAGGCGGCACGCUAAGCCUGAUGUGAAAACCCGCGGCCCAACCGCGGGAGUGCAUUGGGAACUGGCGGACUGGAGUACCGGAGGGGCAGGCGGAAUUCCUAGUGUAGCGGUGAAAUGCGUAGAUAUUAGGAGGAACACCAGUGGCGAAGGCGGCCUGCUGGACGGAGACUGACGCUGAGGCUCGAAAGCGUGGGGGGCAAACAGGAUUAGAUACCCGGGUA